UUUUAAGUAUUUUUAUUUAACAAUAAGGGAUGUUUUAAGUUAUUGUGAAAGAAAAAUAUGAGCUAUAUUUACCAGUUUGCGAUGGUGUGUAGAAGACUCCUUCAUGUGGAGCCAUUGUUUGGGGUCGUCCUCCGCCGCCAAAUAGGCGAUUAAAUCCAGCGCCGUUAAUCUGAAAAACGGUGUAUCUCAUCUAUGACUAUGAGAGCCACGUCCCUCACGUAAUUCCUCGUCUGCCAGGACCUGCUGAUGCCGUCCCACUUCUCAGGAGUCGUCACUAUGACUUGCGACUGUCUUAUGGCCCGGAUAUCCGGUGA